UACGUAGGGAGCAAGCGUUGUCCGGAAUCAUUGGGCGUAAAGCGCGCGUAGGCGGCCUCGUAAGUCCGUUGUGAAAGUCAAAGGCUCAACCUUUGAAAGCCGAUGGAUACUGUGAGGCUAGAGUCCGGAAGAGGCGAGUGGAAUUCCUGGUGUAGCGGUGAAAUGCGUAGAUAUCAGGAGGAACACCAGUGGCGAAGGCGGCGAUCUGGGUGGAUACUGACGCUGAGGUGCGAAAGCGUGGGGAGCAAACAGG
rnacentral:rRNA from 1 species